UCCAUGCAACCAGCAGUCAGGUAAGAGUUCCUUUGAAUGACGUCGUGUGUAUAUAAGGACCUCAAAGCUUUAACAAAUCCUGCUCACAUCACCUGUUCUUCUCUCUCUCUCGGUUUUUUUAGUAGUAUCGCUGCUAGAUCUUGACUAUUCUUAUUACCACUGCUGUAGUCGUCGUCGUCUUCUUCUUCUUCUUCUUCUUCUCAAUCUCUUUGUUUAAUCACUUCUUCGAUCUUCGAAACAGGUGUUUAUUUUCUUUCUUCUUGGUUUGUGGGUUGAUUAUGUAUAUUCUUCCUCUUCUGUUCUUUUUCUGAGUUCUUGAAAUUCUUUCUCUUGUCUGGUUUUUAUCAAAUCUUGAUGGUGGUGAUCUGAUGAUCUCUCUUUAAUAACUAUCACCGAAAAUCUUGCCUAAAAACCCCAAAACCAUGAAUUACCAAGAAAGAAAAAGUAGUUGGAGUUGUUGGUUUUGUGUGUUUGUAGCUACUUUUCUUGCCUUUUUCUUUUUCUUCCCAACAUAUAUUUACAACACCUUUUCUUUUCUUUUUCUUUUUCUUUUUUCUCUGAAAAGAAUUAAGAGUCUUUGUGAUCUUUCUUUUUCAUGAUUCUUGGGUUCUGUUUUGGAAUAAAUAUAUAUCAAAAUAAAUCACCAUUUGUUAAAUGCCACAUGUACUCCUUUAAAAGCACAUAAUAAUCAGUAGAUCUGAUCCUGUGAUCCCUUUUCUUUCUUUUUAACCUUUGUAGUUAUCUAAAAUUUUUAUUUCUUAUAAAACCCAAAUCCCAUAUUCCAAAUGCAUGGAUUCUUCAAGUUCAAGUUCAAAAAAAAAAAAAAAAAAAAAAAAAGUCAUUGUUUGCUGGUGCAGCAUCAUCAAGAUUCACAUGCAAAUGCAUUUCUUUGUCUUUCUCUCUCUCUUUCUCUCUGUCUAUCUAUUUUUUCUUGGUUUUGAAGGAUGAGAGUGAGAAUCUUGAUGAUGCUGCAUCGGCCAUAAAUGGCUACACCUGAAUUAUGCAGCAGCUGGGUCCAAGAUUUUGUACAUCUGAUUGAAACAAGGUAAAUUAACUUUGAUGGGUUCUUCAUAGAAAGGCAAACUAUCACAGAUUCUUGUCUUAAAUCCUUUUUGACACUGUUGUUCUAGAUUCCCCUUUUUGUUGCUCUUGUAAUUCAGUUGCAGGGAAUAUAACAUUUUACUUUGAAUUUCAAUUGUUGUGAGCAUUAGUGUUGACCACCAGUUCUAGGGUUUUAGUUGUCUUUAUAGGGAAUAAUCAAUGGAAUAAUUAAAAAAUAAUAAUAAUAAAUUAAAUUUAUGUACUGGGUUGUUAAGAGCGUAUGUAAAAGUUGUAGGUAGCUUACUCAAACUUGGAAUUUUGGAGCUUGGGAUAUAUAUAAGACUACGUGUGUGGUUGCUUUACUUAGCUUUUUAGGUCCCAUAUUGGGUUGCAGCUACAAAUAUCUACCAAUUUGUAUGAAGCAAAAUGCUACGAUACUUCUGUGUAUAUAUCUCUAUAUUUGCAUAUCUAUUUUAACUAAGUAUCUCAAUUUCAAGAGAUAAAAUAUGAGAUUUAAUCAAAAAUUGAAUCUACUAAUUAAUUGAAUCGCAUAUUUCUUUAUACUUUCUUAUUUCAAUUCAUGGAUCGAUUUUAAACUCUUAUACUUUAUGUGCUAUAUAACUAUAACUUUUCGUCGGUACAUGAUUGGUAAUGUCAUCAUCGAGUGAUAUUUUAUUUUUUUUUGUGUUGUGAAAAUCUAAUUUUAUUACUCUAAACCCUUUAGAUUAAAGUCACUAAUGUUAAUUAUGUCUUAUUUAUAUCUAUUAAUUAGCAAAUUAAACACAUUCUUUACCUUGCAUGUUAUAUUCAAGCAACCAUCUCCUAUAUAUCCCUCCUUAAUUUACCAUUCUCUGCUUUUAUUUUCUUUCUUUUCUUUUCUUUCUGCUCUUUAAGAUAUAUUCUCUAGUAGACCAUGAACAUGUUGAGGAAGCUAAUAUGCAUAUCUGUUUUGUGAGUCCUUCCAAAGGAAUCUAUGAGAAACUAUUGAGUUUCAAUGUGCAUGAAGAACAUCAAAGCAUAUAACACUGUUCCAAGUUCAAAUCUCACACUGAUUCUUCUGACCUAGUGUCCCACAUGCAAAACAAAUUAAAUUGAAUUUAAAUUUAUUAUCUACAUAAAUUAUUGAUAUAUAAUAAUUUAAAGCCUUAAAUUAAUUGGCUCUGAUUCUACGUGACUAACAUUAUUUUUCUUUUAAAUCCUGCAUGAUUAUGCAUGGGCUCAGGGUAAUUCAUUGGAUUUGCUUUCUAGGGUAGGAGAAUUAUAACCUUGAUUUGGAUUUAAACCUCUUAAAUGACUUUUAUCUCUAUGCCUCUACAUGCUUACAUGCAAAUCAGUGGUUAAUCUUUGUAUAGACCAGAAUAUGCUUAUGCUUAAUUUCUUCUUUGUUCUUGUAGAGGUAUCUUGAUGAGUAUAGAUUCCCUUCUCGUCGGCUCCUUUCUAAACAAAAAAAUUAUAACUUUUGACAUUAAUUUUCCUCUAAUAUGGCAUAAUUAAGAUAUAUGUAUAUAUAUAUAUAUAUAUAUAGUUUCUUAGAAUACUGAUGGUAGUUGCAGAGAUAGAACUGGGUGAAUGAUAUGUUCCUUUACCAGUGAUGGAACUGAAGAAGAAUCUAAAGGCAGAUCAAGUGGGGGCAAUUGGUGACAAAAGCUGUUAUGUCAUUUGACAAGUGAAUUGGCAAGAGCUACAAAUCAUUCUUUCUUCUUAAGGUCCACACAAGUAAGAGAGGGAGAAAAAAAAAGAAAACAGCUUUCAUUGUGUACUGUGUGGUAUUGGCAGAUGAGUUUCUGCUAUGAAUGCUUGUUUCUAUGUGAAAACAAUAAUGCGUUUUUGGAUUUGUAUGUGAAACUUCAAUUCUUAAUCUUUUUCUCUACCACUUCUUAUCUCAAUCAUUUCCCAUCAAAUACCUUAAAACCCUCAUCUUGUUUGCUUUUUGGCCUAGCUUUUCUCCUUAUUAAUUUAUUAGCUUUUUCUUGGAGUCAUAGUAUAUCCACUGCAGCUAAUUGUGCUUUUGGGUAAGUUUGCAAAUUAUGACAUUAGAAGAAAGAAAAAAAUAGUUAUAAAAUGAGUUAUUCAUAGUUUCAACUGUAUUUUUUAUUAAUUGCUAAAAAGUAAAUAAAUCGUUAUUUUAUACUCAACAACGAAAAUAAAUAUAAUAAAUUUUAAAUUAUUAUUAUUAAAUCGCUGCUUUAAAUUCGUAACAUGAAUAUACCCAUUAUAAUAUUUUUUUUAUAUGCAUUGAAUGCUAAUUACUUGCUUCAUUUUCCUCAUGAUUUCUUUUUCUUCUUUUUGGAUUUGAAUCAUCCACUGGCUUCUUCAACUGACAAAAUUUACAGCUCAAGAUUAUGGAGAAGUUGAAUCAGGAAACACGGAAUUUCAUAUCUCCACUCAAAUCAAUCAUACACCUAAAUCUAGAACCGUAUAUACAAAUCUGAAAAUUUCCUUCUCUAAUCUUCAAUAGCCCAAAUCAGUACACACAAACCCUAAAUCACAAAUCUCAAAUCUCAAGAACCCAUAUUUCAAACUAUAAACCCAACUGGAAACCUCAAAUCUCAAAAUAUUUUCACUACCUUCAGUGUCUAAGGACAAGAUUGCGAUGAGCAAUACUAGCAUGAUUGAGGAUGAGCGGCCGGGCACAGUGGAGAGAAUGAACCAACAGAGAGACAAGCAUGCAAAUGUACGACCGGACCAAACCGAACAAGAAUGCAAAUGGAGAGGCAGCAUCGGCGUGAGGGACAAUUGGACUAUUGAACAAGGACGCAGCAAGCAGAGACGAUGGAGAGACAAGUGAGAUUAGGGUUUAUGUUGAUUUUUUGGGAGGAGAGAAAACAAGAGAUGUGAUUGAUAUAUUGAUUAUUAUUAUUAAAUUAUUAAUUGAAUAGAAAUCGGAAAUUGAAGGAAUA